rnacentral:rRNA from 1 species
AGAGUUUGAUCAUGGCUCAGGAUGAACGCUGGCGGUAUGCUUAACACAUGCAAGUCGAACGGGAUCAGAAAUGGUUCAGUGGCGGACGGGUGAGUAACGCGUGAGAAUCUGGCUUCAGGUUCGGGACAACCACUGGAAACGGUGGCUAAUACCGGAUAUGCCGAGAGGUGAAAGAUAUAUUGCCUGAAGAUGAGCUCGCGUCUGAUUAGCUAGUUGGUAGGGUAAUGGCCUACCAAGGCGGCGAUCGGUAACUGGUCUGAGAGGAUGACCAGUCACACUGGGACUGAGACACGGCCCAGACUCCUACGGGAGGCAGCAGUGGGGAAUUUUCCGCAAUGGGCGAAAGCCUGACGGAGCAAUACCGCGUGGGGGAUGAAGGCUCUUGGGUUGUAAACCCCUUUUCUCAGGGAAGAAAAAAAUGACGGUACCUGAGGAAUAAGCAUCGGCUAACUCCGUGCCAGCAGCCGCGGUAAUUC